rnacentral:rRNA from 1 species
AUUGAACGCUGGAGGCGUGCUUAACACAUGCAAGUCGUGCGAGAAAGGGACUUCGGUCCUGAGUAGAGCGGCGCACGGGUGAGUAACGCGUGGGUGAUCUCCCUUGGUGAUCGGGAUAACAGCGGGAAACUGCUGCUAAUACCGGAUAAUCUUCAUGUUUAACUUCAUGGGGUAAAGGUGGCCUCUGCUUGCAAGCUACCACAUCAAGAUGAGCCCGCGUGUCAUUAGCUAGUUGGUAGGGUAAUGGCCUACCAAGGCUACGAUGAGGAGCUGGUCUGAGAGGAUGACCAGACACACUGGGACUGGAACACGGCCCAGACUCCUACGGGAGGCAGCAGUGGGGAAUAUUGCGCAAUGGGCGAAAGCCUGACGCAGCGACGCCUCGUGAGGGAUGAAGGUCUUCGGAUCGUAAACCUCUGUCAAGAGGGAAGAAACCCUUAGGUUCGAAUAGGGCCUUUGGCUGACGGUACCUCAAAAGGAAGCACCGGCUAACUCCGUGCCAGCAGCCGCAGUAA